rnacentral:rRNA from 1 species
UACGAAGGGGACUAGCGUUGUUCGGAAUCACUGGGCGUAAAGCGCACGUAGGCGGAUAUGUCAGUCAGGGGUGAAAUCCCGGGGCUCAACCUCGGAACUGCCCUUGAUACAGCAUAUCUUGAGUCCGAUAGAGGUGGGUGGAAUUCCUAGUGUAGAGGUGAAAUUCGUAGAUAUUAGGAAGAACACCGGUGGCGAAGGCGGCCCACUGGAUCGGUACUGACGCUGAGGCGCGACAGCGUGGGGGAGCAAACAGG